CUGUCCGGGGUUCCUGGAGGGGCUCGACGGCGCUUGGGGGAGGAGGGAGGGAGAACACACACAGGUGAAACAGAUGGACCAGAUGCCGGACAGCUUGCUACCCCGAUGUGGCUUUUCCUCCAAGAAGAAUACGCACCGAGAAUGAAGGUCCUAACAGCAGGUGAUUAGGCUGGCCUGUUUGGUACCAACAGCGAGAGGAAGGUAGCAGGAAAAAACCUUGAUGUUGUGGAUAGAAUUACACAAAGCUCAUAAGAGAAUGUCAGGUAAAGACACUGGAACUUUACCCAGGCAUAUGAAUGACAUCUACAGUGCCAAGGAUGGACAAGACACUUUCCCCACUGUUGCUGUCUCUCAAUUCCCCACUUUUUUUUUCUUCGAGAAGCAACACACUCCACCUGAUCACACUCCCCUGGCAGAGAAUUACUGAGCCUGCAUUGUUCAGGAGCAGUAGCAGCUAGCCUUUCUGUUCCUCAACGCCCCUUCAGAGUCUGGUCUUCUCCAGUUGAUUUCCAUUCAUCAUGAUCCAUGGAUAAACAUCUGAUAGAAGGAAAAGAUGCAGCACACUAGAGCAGGAAAGAGUUUGUAGGCCUACAGGCAUUCCACAGAUCAGAUCCAACGGCUCAGGAAGAAAUUAUAAACUGGGGUGUGCUAGGCUCCGGAUUGGUCCCUUUCGCUAUAGAAGGUAGAAAGGGGACCCAGAAUGUGCUGCUCCCUACCACGUUGUCCUCUCCUGUUCAUCUUGGCCCUCAACUCUAUGGGCAUUGCUGUCAUUUCCUUCACACAGCUGCCGUGUAAAACAGCCUUGGGCUGUUACGUUUCCACACUACAGGCAUUUAGAAGCUGCUCUGCACUUUUGUACAGUACUUUCAACACAGUCAUGGUGCCAGUGGGGAAAAGAUUUCUGCCUUAUGGAAAAGAUAAGGCAGGGUACUGAGAAAGUGACACAAACGGACACCAACCCCCAUUUUGGAAUGUUUUCGGCUGCUAAGCCUGUCUCAAUUUAUGUAUAUAUUAGAAUUGUUAUUGCUGCAUGCAUCCCUGAGUGAUGCAAAUGCAUCAGAAGGGCGGGAGAUAGGUUUUCUGAAAUAAAUAAACUAAAUAGGAGCUCUGCGGCAGCUGCUCCUGAUUUGGAGAUAAGGAUUAGGAUGAAAGACCCUAAUUUGGGCCCUCGUAGGCAGCCAAAUCCGUGAUUUCAAGCGGAUCAGUAAUCAGGAGUUGCCAGAUUCUUUCUUCUAUAGCCCUGUCUUUCCAUUGCCGUUCUUCCAGCAUAAUUCUGCCGGUACUAAAUCAAAUGUGCAACGUAAAGCUGCAGUAACAAAAUGUUAAAUCAAGCUGGGUGAGUGGAUGCUUAUCCAGUGGAAGCAGCUGCCAAAAACGUGGUAUUUCAUCUCGUUUUUCAUGCAUAGUAAUGAAGGCUGCACUAAUCCCUGAAAUCAGAUAUUUCACGAAUACCUUUUAAAGAUGCACACAAAAGAGUUAAACAGAACUCGAAGCCACAGAUUUUUUUUUUAAAAUUCUAAUUUUUAGAAUAAAGGGAUAUCACAAACUGCCAUUGCUACUGUGAAAAAGACUGAAAGGUCAUUUUUUAUAGCAUUAAGUCUUCUGGGUUACCAAUCCUGAAACAAAAAUAUGAAUAUGCAUUUAUAAUCUUUCUUCCCUGUGCAUAUUUUAUGUAGAUCUAGAACAAUUGCAGAAAUAAGCCUUUCCUCCAGGUAGAUGCUUUCAUCCAAGCGAAUUAGCAACCUGGACAUUUUAUGGUAACAUGCAUUAUGGAUAGCGGAAGACGUUUGAAAAGGAGCUCUUUGUUUAAGUGGCUUGGUAAGGAGCCACACUGCUGGUUCACAGCAGGUUGAGUUUCUGGGUUUGCUUUUAUUGUGGAAUUGAUGUGAAAUUUGAGUUUAGCCAGCCUGGCUGAAAAGGAAAGGGGAAUCAGAUAGGCGUUGCAAUGCAGGGAAGCUGUACUGUAACCUUUGCCCGUGUCUCCGUGUUAUACAGCCUAAAUGUGAAUGCUGGCUUUGAGAGGUUCAGCGCAGUCUCCUGCAAACUUUAAAUGUUGUCCAGCCCUGACAAGGACAGACUUCAGUGGAAAUGAGAAGUAGUUCAUUGGAUAGCAUGCACAGGCAGUGCACAUGUAGAAUAAUGUGUGCACAUGGAAUUCCUGGGCACCUCUUUCAUGCCUCUUCUUCGCUGUAUUAAACAUAAUCAUCAUUUCCUUUAA